GUGUCAGCAGCCGCGGUAAUACGUAGGUGGCAAGCGUUGUCCGGAUUUAUUGGGUUUAAAGGGUGCGUAGGCGGUUAUAUAAGUCAGUGCUGAAAUAUCCCGGCUUAACCGGGAGGGUGGCAUUGAUACUGUAUGACUUGAGUAAAGUUGAGGUUGGCGGAAUUGACGGUGUAGCGGUGAAAUGCUUAGAUAUCGUCAAGAACACCGAUUGCGAAGGCAGCUAACUAAGCUUUAACUGACGCUGAGGCACGAAAGUGUGGGGAUCAAACAGGAUUAGAUACCCUAGUAGUCC
rnacentral:rRNA from 1 species